rnacentral:lncRNA from 1 species
UGGAGGGAUGUCUUCUGCUCGCUGGCCAUCAUCUUGUGCAGCGCUUCGUUCUCUUCUCCUUCGCGCUCCAAAAUCUUGCAUUGGGAACAGCACUCUUUGUUACUUGGGAACUCGGGGGCCUUUGGGAAAUAUUGCUUGAGCUUCUUCCAGGCCUCCUUCGACACCACCCUCCUCUCAUUCUCGGAGAUGCACAGGUCACCAUGUGGGCAAACAAUGUCUUCAUUAAAAUUUAACUCUUCUUCCUCCUCUCUCUUCUCCUCAUUCACUUCAUCUUUGUUUGGUGCGUUUCCAUUCAGUUUCCCAUUGCUGUGCUCUGCGUCUUCGUCUUGCUCAUUUAAUUGCUCCAGAGCCAACUGACGCCAGCUCCGCAAGGAGGCCUUUCCAACCCAAAACCCCUCACUCCUGCAGGGAGACAGCAGCAAAUCACAACCCAAACGGUAAAAGCUUGAGAGAAAAGCUACUCAGACGUUGGUUAACACGGCUAAAAACAUCUCUGACAACACGUGAAGGCGCCAG